CCUACGGGGGGCAGCAGUGGGGAAUAUUGGACAAUGGGCGAAAGCCUGAUCCAGCCAUGCCGCGUGUGUGAAGAAGGCCUUCGGGUUGUAAAGCACUUUCAGUGGGGAAGAAAGCCUUGGGGCUAAUACCCUCGAGGAAGGACAUCACCCACAGAAGAAGCACCGGCUAACUCCGUGCCAGCAGCCGCGGUAAUACGGAGGGUGCGAGCGUUAAUCGGAAUUACUGGGCGUAAAGCGCGCGUAGGCGGUCUGAUAAGCCGGUUGUGAAAGCCCCGGGCUCAACCUGGGAACGGCAUCCGGAACUGUCAGGCUAGAGUGCAGGAGAGGAAGGUAGAAUUCCCGGUGUAGCAGUGAAAUGCGUAGAGAUCGGGAGGAAUACCAGUGGCGAAGGCGGCCUUCUGGACUGACACUGACGCUGAGGUGCGAAAGCGUGGGUAGCAAACAGGAUUAGAUACCCUUGUAGUC
rnacentral:rRNA from 1 species